GCUGCAAUUUCUCUGAGUUGAGGAGCGACCAAUCAGCAAGAAGGAUUCAUUAGAAAGGGCCGAUGAGAAUAAUUCAAGAUCUCUCAAAAUGUUUGAGGCAUGCUUCCUGUGGGACAUGUUUCAUUGACAUAACCUGUACAUUGGAAACAUUCAUUGGACCUGAUGCUACAAAGUGUUUUUUCCUUGAAGCACAGCACGAAAAUGUUUUGUAACAUCAGAAGGAUCAUUAACUGAAGAGACUGUUGGAGCCAGUGACAUUCAGUUUGGUGUUCGAUCGAGUGAUCUAGCGCUUCGACGUCCCCAAAGCGGACUGCAAACAAGGGCUGCCCCGUGCAGAAGACCAGAGAUUGGGUGCAGGAUCAUUUCAAAGCAUUGAGAAAAAUUGAAUGUAGACGAGGUCAGUGGGCGCUCUCCACAGAGAUCACGGGUUGACGGUGGUUGGCAGCUGGGUCGGCGGUGUUCGGAAGGACUGAGUUUGAGCGGUCACUCUCCUCGGAUCUGGUGGGAGGAUGUUUUUUGAAGUUCUGAAACAUGUGAUUAUUAGACUGUAGCUUAUAAAGCUCUCCUUCAGUAUUUUGUGUUUUCUUUCUUGUUGCUGAUUGGUGGGUUUGAGGUCCGAGUGGACAAUGUGCUGGUUUUUGUGCGAGGGAGAGGUUGGGGAUUUGGGAUCUGAUGUUCUU